UAGGGAAUCUUCGGCAAUGGACAAAAGUCUGACCGAGCAACGCCGCGUGAGUGAAGAAGGUUUUCGGAUUCGUAAAACUCUAGUUGGUAGAGAAGAACGUUGGUGAGAGUGGAAAGCUCAUCAAGUGACGGUAACUACCCAGAAAGGGACGGCUAACUACGUGCCAG
rnacentral:rRNA from 1 species